GAUGAACGCUGGCGGCGUGCCUAAUACAUGCAAGUCGAGCGAACGGACGAGAAGCUUGCUUCUCGGAUGUUAGCGGCGGACGGGUGAGUAACACGGGGAAAACCCACCUAUAAGGCUGGGAUAACUUCGGGAAACCGGAGCUAAUACCGGAUGAUAUUUUGAACCGCAUGGAUCAAAAGUGAGAGACGGUCGUGCCGUCACUUAUAGAUGGAUCCGCGCUGCAUUAGCUAGUUGGUAAGGUAACGGCUUACCAAGGCAACGAUGCCUAGCCGACCUGAGAGGGUGAUCGGCCACACUGGAACUGAGACACGGUCCGGACUCCUACGGGAGGCAGCAGUAGGGAAUCUUCCGCAAUGGGCGAAAGCCUGACGGAGCAACGCCGCGUGAGUGAUGAAGGUCUUCGGAUCGUAAAACUCUGUUAUUAGGGAAGAACAUAUGUGUAAGUAACUGUGCACAUCUUGACGGUACCUAAUCAGAAAGCCACGGCUAACUACGUG
rnacentral:rRNA from 1 species